CAGUAGCCACGGUAAUACGUAGGUGGCAAGCGUUGUCCGGAAUUAUUGGGCGUAAAGGGCUCGCAGGCGGUUUCUUAAGUCUGAUGUGAAAGCCCCCGGCUCAACCGGGGAGGGUCAUUGGAAACUGGGAAACUUGAGUGCAGAAGAGGAGAGUGGAAUUCCACGUGUAGCGGUGAAAUGCGUAGAGAUGUGGAGGAACACCAGUGGCGAAGGCGACUCUCUGGUCUGUAACUGACGCUGAGGAGCGAAAGCGUGGGGAGCGAACAGGAUUAGAUACCCGUGUAGUCCCUGUCUCUUAUAU
rnacentral:rRNA from 1 species